rnacentral:rRNA from 1 species
AACGAACGCUGGCGGCAGGCUUAACACAUGCAAGUCGAGCGCCCCGCCAGGGGAGCGGCGGUCGGGUGAGUAACGCGUGGGAACGUACCUUUUGGUUCGGAACAACUCCGGGAUACUGGAGCGAAUACCGGAUAAGCCCUAACGGGGAAAGAUUUAUCGCCGAAAGAUCGGCCCGCGUCUGAUUAGCUAGUUGGUGAGGUAAUGGCUCACCAAGGCGACGAUCAGUAGCUGGUCUGAGAGGAUGAUCAGCCACACUGGGACUGGGACACGGCCCAGACUCCUACGGGAGGCAGCAGUGGGGAAUAUUGGACAAUGGGGGCAGGGCUGAUGCAGCCCUGGCGGGUGAGUGAUGAAGGCCUGAGGGUUGUAAAGCUCUUUUGUCCGGGAAGAUAAUGACUGUACCGGAAGAAUAAGCCCCGGCUAACUUCGUG